rnacentral:miRNA from 1 species
UUAUCAACAGUAUCAAUGGAUAUG